ACAUGCAGGAAGCAGCUAAAGACUGAGAUCUGUGCAAACAGAGAUGUGCAUGUGGUGACAUUUUGAAAGUCUGGAAACUUCUUGCCUCAACUGGAAGGGAACGGAAACAAACAGCAAAAUAGAGAUGGAAAACGCAUCUGUAUCUACGGGAAGCAAGUUUCAGAGGUGAAGCGCGGCUGCAGCGGAGGCUCCGUUUGGCCUCACCUGAUGUGCCUCAGCUCUGCCCCACUGAGGAGCCAAGCACCACGGCACCCAUCACCGACCGCAGGAAGAAAACAGCAUCCAGACCCUGGGUGUGUGGGCUGAACGUUUCAGGAGGAAUUUAUCAAAGCACGACCCGGGAGGAGGGGAAGGAACCCCCGAUGGGGUGUGUGCCACCCCUGUAUCGGAGCUCGCAGCCACCCGUCCAGUUUGGAGACAGUUCCCGGGGUCCUUUGGACAGUGGGGAAUGGACAGGAAUUGGAAGGUAUCUGCUCCCUUUCCCAAAAAUGCCUCCUACAACCCUUCAUGCCUGCGGUAUCUGUGUAAAGCUGCCUACGCUGGUUACGCACGCCCACGGCUCUGUGCCAGCCUGGGAAGCACAGCUUGCCGUUCUGCACCUGUUUUACCCCCGAAUUACCCCCCAGCUUUUAACAGUAGUCUUUGCUCUGAACAUUUGCACCCAUCCUUCUUCCAUCAGCCUGCAGGCUGUUAAUCCCGAUGGCUGCUGCAACGGGCCCCUCGCAGGUACAGAAACUCUGCAGGGUUUGGAUCACACUAAUACAUAUGCUGCUCAUUAAUAACAAACGGAGCGCACGGGCAGCGCUGCCCAGCUCCAGACGGACCAACGACGGGCCGCAGGGCUCGUGUGGCAGCAGCUCCCGCACACCAUCAACUUUCCUACGUGUCUGCCACUCCUCCCACCGCUGGUCCUGCUCCCUGUGCACUCAGACGGGGCCGCGCAGCUUUGGUUCAGUGGGACGUUUGCACAAGGAGAUGCGAGCACCGGGAAUUAGAACCUGAAUAAUAGCCAGAAUGGGAGAAACGGAGACUCCUUCAGUCUCAACAAAGAACCCUUGACAUGAUGUCUCUGCCUUCAUCUGUUUUCUGACCAGAUCCUGAAGAUCCUGGUGUGAAAACAGCGGAGCAGGAGAUCUCAGAAAUGAAAUACUGCAAAGGAGCUGAAGUGCAAAGAAUUGUUUGCAGAUGCAUCCUUGCAGGGUGAUGAAGCUGGUGAAGUGAAGCUGGUAAAAUGAGGUUUCCAAGAAGGAAAGCAAAGAGGGGAUGAUUUCUCUCAGUGCCAACAUAAGCCUCUUCUUCACAGAAGUAAACACUUGUUAGGAUUAGCGGAGGACAAAAUGCUACUGUGUAUGAUGUGAUAAACUCUGAAGAUUUACAUUUUGCCUGAGAACAGAUUCACAUUUUUAAUGACAGAAACCACCAUCACUGAACCCAACCACCUCAGGGCACGGAGUGCAGGAGGAGGCUGCAACUGUAAGUGGAAUCGAGCUUCCGAAUUGAACAAAGAAUUGAAACUUUUCUUGGAUUUGAAAAUGAAGUUGGUCCACAAUUUAUCUUUCCUUGCAUUUCUUUUUGUUUCCUGUCAGAGCUGCACAAUUUCUCAGUGCUUUCCCAUCUGGAAGAUACGCCGCACCAUUAUUGUGGCUUCAUACUCAAUACAGUGUCCAUUUCUCAAAGCUCCAUUUCUUUCAGAUGGACUUACAGAGAUAGAAUAAAUAUCUCUCUUGAACACCAAAUUGGGAUUACGGUUAACAAUCGCUUGGCAGACCAGAGUAGGUUAUUUUAAUGAACUCAUCAUUCUGAAAUAAGCCUUCCACCAUCUGUUCAGUCCCAUAAUUAUAAAUGCAAACAACAUAAUUCAUAAAUGCACUAUAAAAGAGAGGGAAAGGGAGAACAGCUCAAGCUGACUGUUUGUUAGUUAUUCCAGGCAGUGAUGCAUCUGCUCGCUUUGUUCCUGUUUCAGGAGCAGGUAAAAAACAGUCCUUUAAUUCUGUAUUUUAUGGCAGUCACCGACCCACAGUAAACGAUUGCCCAUAGGUGACAGAGGUGUCAUUAAGUGCACUACAGCUUCUGGUUGGCAUCACUAUUUAGCCACGUCUAUGAUGGGAGCGCACAGGGAAGAUCACACAGCCCAUCCCGGAUCCCGGUGACAAUGCUAUUUCCUCCAUGAAAAGAUGCUUUUGACCUUUUGGAAAACUGGGAAAUUUUGUGAAACGUUCAGAAAAUGGAGAAGAGCAUCAACAUAAAAUCCAAGAAUCUCUGGAAUUUUCAUUUUUCAUUUUGAAAGAAGCUUUGGUUUUUAAUCUGAAAUAUACAAAAUGUCAAAAUGGAAUGUAAACAAAACAUGUUGCUUCAUUUCCACUUUUCUGUUAAAAAAUGAAUAUACAUAAACCAAACUAAAUGCAUUUUCGCGAAACGCUUUAUUUUAAUAUAUCUGCAUUUUUGAUUUUCAAAAAGUCCAAGCAGAAAUGUCCCUCUCUCGCAAUUAAUGGGUUCGUAGACUCCAUGAAAUGGAAAGGUUUCCAGUAAUUCUGUAAAGUCUGGGCUGAAUGACUCUGGCUUCCAGCUGCUGAGUGAACCGCCACAUCUGGCCAUUUCCAGCGGGAUGAGAAGAACAUCCCGCCACCUGCUCAACACCAUUCCCCAAAGGGAGCCAGAAAUUACAAGCUCAUUCUGCCUUUUUGUCGAUACGUAUCAACACUGCAGAAGACGUAAGUCGAUUUGAUAAUCGAUGCUGAAAAACUACUGCUGUAUCUAAUAAUUCUAGGCUGAAGAGCUCCUGUUUCUCGGUGGGUUUCUCCCUGGUUCUGAGAUUAAAUACUUGCAAGAUCUCCGAGCAAUGAGGUUUAAGCUUUUUGUGUGUCGUUCUUCUGCUGCGUCUGGUUGACCUGCAACCCAGAGGAGAGCAGCACGUUAUCCAAGGUGAGUUUACUACAGGUAGGUCUCCCCCUGCACCUACUCAUGAUCUGUGUGGGCCAACAAAAGCCAGUUCAGAGAUAAUUUCUCUUCUAAACAUACAAGAAACCAAUGAAUAUAAAAAGAGUGCGUGAACGGAGAAAACACAGUGAGACCCACUCCAAGAGAAUUCCCUCAAAUAUCAGAUAUUUUCCCUUAAACUCUGCAGAGAUACCCUCGCUAUUUGUCUCCCGUGCGCUGUUGAGCGCAGGGCUCCUGCCCGAGGGGGCUGCAGGGUUUUGGACCCCUGCACGGGGAUGGUGAAGCCGUUGUGGCCGGUUCCUGGGAGCUGGUCAGGCUGGAUGGCAGAUGAACGUCUCCAUCCCAUCCUCCCAUGGCCAUUUCUCUUCAUUGCCAGCUGACGGGCUGCAGAGCCCCUACCGAUGUGAUUAGCUGAGGGAAGGGCCUGGGGUAGACAAUGAUGUGCUAAAUCACCUGCUGGAGCCCUGGGGUGGAACGGCUGACCAGAUGUGGUUGGGAUCUGUAACGUGGCCAAGGAAAUUCAAUCCAUGCUCUGCACUGAGCUUUGCAACAAGGACCUUCCUUUGCCUCCGCUGGUUCUUAUUCCAAUCCUGGGGAGGGAUCAUCUACCUGUGUGUAAAACCACCCAGCCAGUGGAUUUGAUGUCUCAAGCAGCCUGAGCAAAGAUAAAACAUUCCUAAAUUCUUAAAAUGCCCUAGCCAAGUUUGAAUCUGUCCUAGCCUUAUUUAAUUUAUUUUAAUAAAGAGGAGCAAAUAUCAGUGGGCUGUUCCUCCUUAGACAUGAUGCAGUCCUUUGGGAAAACAUGGGCAAAAUCCACAGAAAUAUAAUCAAAAGUUCCAUUUUUGCGUUGCAGCUGAAUGGUGAAAAUCUGGAUCUCAGGAAAACAUUUGGAUUGCUAAAUUAUUUAUACAGAUAUGACAGCAAUGUUGAUUUUAAAGUCAUUUGUAGUCAAAUGUAAAUACAAAUUUAUCUCUAUCUCAUGAUGUGUUUAUUUUUUUCCACUCUUAAGCAGUUAUGCUGAAUAUCUUAAUUAUCUUUAAAUCAAAUAAGGCUGUUCAGACCUCGUGAGCUGGAAUGAAGCACUCAUCAUUCUUUACUAAAUUUCAGUUAGAGGUUUUAAAGCCAGCUGUCUCCAGCCCACGUAAUCCAGCCUCCAGUACAUUUUGUAAGACUUCUAAUGCCUCCUCGGGUUUAACAUUUGCAGACAGUUCUCCAAGGAAGUAAUAAGCUGGGGAAAGAAAUAAAUGACUUUCUUUGUAUCUGAUGAGUGGCAGAACACAAAGCAAGCAGCUCUCAAUACUGUUUCUGUCCUUUCUUAGGGACACGGUUUAGUGGUGGCCUUGGCAGCGUUGGGUUAACAGGCUUUUCCAACCAAAACGAUUCCAUGGUUCUAUUCUAUCUCCAAAAGUGGAGGCGAGCAGAUAAUGUCCGGUGGAUAUGUGACCGCACCGACACGGAGGCACUACUGCUUUAGCUUGAUGUACAAUAGAGAAGGUGCCUAUCUUCUUCUGGCAAAACAAGAACAAAAUCCCUUCCAGUUCAUUAAUUUUUGUGUUUACAGUAGAAAUGUAUCUUUUUUUAAAGGAGGAUGUUUAACUCCUUUUAAAAGUGCAGGCAAAUAAUAAGCUGAAAUAUGAUUUUGAAAUGAAAUGUCAAAACACCUCAGCAUCUUGUUUUCUUUUCAUGUUUUCCUGCUGAAAACAUUUGCUGAACUUGACCCAAUCAGUUUGUUUCCCUGCAACUGCAAGUGCUCAUUACGUCUUCCUUUUUAAAAAAUUCUUGUUAUUUCCAGGCUUUAUUAAUUAAUUUGGUCUAAGAUAAACAAUAGGAACCCAUCUGGGCUACUUUAACUUCAACAGCUAAUCCCAGCACGCUGCUCCUUUGCUCAGAAGACUCUUGUUCCAUGAAUGGAGGAGAAUCACACUGGCCUCUCAGGCAGAGUGCUGAGCACAACCUUUCACUUGGCACAGGAAACAGAUCAGAUAGAGCUUGAUUAACAACGAUAACUAAUUAGGAGCCUGGCCUGAGUCAACCAAGGCAUUUCACACAGGUCAGCAAAGCAGCAAAGAGUCGAAUUCAAUAUAAACAGGGCUGAAGGAACACAUUUUGGAUGUCAUUAUCCCUGGGUGCUGGCUAAAUCCUUUCGCAUGAUGUUAUAAAGUCUCAUUUUUGCAUUGAGUAAUAACCUCUUAAGAUGAUAAUUACCAAGAUCAGCUAAGUGAGCUAUUUCAAGAAACUGUUGACAGAAGGUUAGCAAGGGCUCAGGACACCUCUUUUCCCAGCUUCCUUAGGCUUCCGUCUUGCAGCUGCUUGAGCUGAAUGAUGUUUAUAAGUUUCCCUAUUUUCCGCUGCAGGACGUUCUGCUCAGCUUCAGCAAAAGGCCUUGGACUUUGGAUAUUAUGAACAUAAACGUGACAAUGACUGGUGAUGAAAAACAUGGGAUCCACACAGCAACCAAGGUGAUGGAGUCAAUCCAGAGACGCUGACUCCCUCCAUCACAGAUUUACAACUUGUUAAUGUUGUAAUAGUUGAUGUUUCCACAAGAGAAACAGAAACUUGGGCACUGAAGGACAGAAACUAAGCUAAGUUUAAAAUCAGCAGGGAAACUAUUUGUUUUCAAUGAUCUAAAUCUAUUUGCUAAUUAUAAGCACCAGCAUAAACAAGUAAGCAAAUGACCGAGGCCAUUCAAUGCCACGCUACACAACAUGGACACUCUCCCCUUCUCACAUUAACUCUGCAUUUCCAUUUCUCUCUCAUUAAUGUUAAGUUUCACACUACUUUAUGUGCUCUAAUUACCUGAAGUUUUUGGCCUACAGUUCAUGUUUGCACCAUAAUUAAUGCAACAUUCAUAAAAGACCCAAAUCUGAUAAUUAGGAGAGUACUCGGAAGUGCUCGUUUACGUUAGAAAUACACAGCACCACAUUAAGAGCAGCUUUAACUACCCACAGAUGGGGUAGCUCAUAAUAGGCUUCUGGGUUUUAACUAAGGUGUUUCAAUUACUGAAGAAUAAGCAGGAUCAAUUAAGAAUAUUCAAAUGGAAGAUAAUGAUUUUUUUUUUUUUAAUAAAUUGAAAUUUCACAACUGGCAUAAUUAGACCUUUCAUCUGCAAAGAUAAAAACCACAAGGCAUUCAUCAAAGCUGUGGAAUGAAAUAGUGGCAAAACCCCUUGGAGCUGUUUCCUUGUGCAAUGGAGACACCACAAUGGAGACCACAUCUGGAAUAUUGUGUCCAGUUGUGGCCCCUCAGUUCCAGCAGGACAGGGAACUGCUGGAGAGAGUCCAGCGCAGCCACCAAGAUGCUGAAGGGAGUGGAGCAUCUCCCGUGUGAGGAAAGGCUGAGGGAGCUGGGGCUCUGGAGCUGGACAAGAGGACACUGAGGGGGGACUCAUUCCUGGGGAUCGAUAUGGAAAGGGGGAGUGUCAGGAGGAUGGAGCCAGGCUCUUCUGGGUGACAACCAGUGACAGGACAAGGGGCAAUGGGUUCAAACUGGAACACUAAAGGUUCCACUUAAAUUUGAGAAGAAACUUGUUCCCAGUGAGGGUGGCAGAGCCUGGCCCAGGCUGCCCAGGGGGGUUGUGGAGUCUCCUUCUCUGCAGACAUUCCAACCCGCCUGGACACCUUCCUGUGUAACCUCAUCUGGGUGUUCCUGCUCCAUGGGGGGAUUGCACUGGGUGAGCUUUCCAGGGCCCUUCCAACCCCUGACAUUCUGGGAUUCUAUGAUUAUUUCCAAGCGUAUUGCAGACCAGCAGCCUGGAGCCCCAAGACUGAAUUUGUUUGUCAGGCUUCAAAUACGUGCCACGGUGUCAGAACCGCAGCCAUCUGGGAAAUCAACCGGUGGCUUUUCUGCACUGAGAUAUCCAGUGCAUUGUCAUUUCAUGUGUCUACUUUUUGUGUGCAAGAGCAGAACUUUUUGGUGUCAAAACAAGACUUUCUGCAAAGAAUGACGUGGUUUAUAACAAAAGUCUAACAUAUGCAUGUUGUUAAUGUCAGUCACUGAUUUCAGCUCCUUUGUGAACAGCAAACUAUCGCAAACUCCCUCAGAGCUCGUCUGUAUCCUGGUCAUUCUGGGUAUCCCAGCAGUGCUGUGGUGAAGUUGUACGUGUCUUAAGGCACCUCAUGGUAAGAGCUGAAAAUCGUGUUUUCUGGUAAUGGAAAAAUGAUGCAAAAAUUAAACCGCAAAAAACAGUAUUGAAGAGAAGCUGCCAAAUUAAUGUAUACUGUGAUUAAAUUAUAAAAGACGUGCCCAUCAUUCACCAAUUGACAUGAGAUAAAUGCUUUCUGACCACCUGCAAAAUGAGGGGAUAUUCUUCAAGUUUUAGAUCCUUCUGCAUGACAGGAGGGAGUCAGAAGACUGAGUAACACAUUGUUUAGAAGCAGAGUACUCAGUUUAUAUUUAACUAAUAAUUAAUAGAUGUAUUGUAAGAAACUAAAUGAUUAUAACUAACAUCAUCAAUUAUUUCUUAGUAUUAUAUGUCCAAAUUUCCAAAAAUGUAAUGCAUAUGUAAUAAUUAUGUGAAUGUAAGCAUUGCAAGAGCAUCCAGUCUGGAGCACUGAUGGAGGAUGAUCCCCAGUGUUUCCCAGCGCUGCUGAAAUAAAGAAUGUCUAUAACAGUAGAAUUUUGCCAGCUUUCCAUCCUGCUCACCAUGGUGAGCUACCACUCUUCCCUACUUCUUCCUCAAGGUUUUUCAAUUAAUAUGAUAUGCAUUAGCUGGCACAUUCCUGACUUCAGACUGCUUCUCUGUCACAGCCUACGGGGUAUGAAUUGGUAAAACUUUAUACAUCACAUUACGAAAAAUAUUAACAUGGCAAACUUUUGAGCUGUGCUCAUAACUAGUCGUAUUUUGUAAGCAUUUUCUUAGGAUUAAAUGUCAUACCACGGACGGUGACAUUGGAAGUGGGUGCUUAACUUGAGUAAAAUCUCCCUAUUCUCCUCCGUUCAGCCUUGGUUUGAUAACUGCCCAGAGUGUUUUCCCGGUGCCAAAGGGCAGCAGCAGACCCUCCUGCUCCAUUCUCCUAUAUACACCCCACUUGCAAACAGUAAUUCCCUGCAUCACUUUCAGAGACAGUUGCUCCUUGCUUUUAGCUUGGUUAAAACCAAUACCAAAAUAAGCCAAUAAGUACAUAUUGCUUGGUGGCUGUAUUUUCAUUCCCCUGUUGUUCUUCAGGAAGGAUGAUGCUUCGUUUGCUCAUCUGCCUUCCCUGCCAAGAGCUAUUUCACAGCCAGGUUAGAUUGUCUUCAGGAGUGUGCUGGGGAGGACAGGAGGUGCCUCCGACAGCUUCUUCAUUCCGAUAUGAUUCAGAGGUUGCUCAGUCCCCCUUUUCUGUUCGCUGUAUCCCCAAACAUCCUGUGACGAUUGCCUGUUCUCUGACUUCAGCCUUUCCAGUCUCAACAGGAGUAGUUCCUGGACAUCUGCUACUGAGAACCUAACGGGAGUGAUGCCAGCUCCUGCUCCCUCCAGGCCCAGGGACCCUCUGAGCUUGUGUGUGCAAGAAGGACCGGGGGAAGAAAUGUUCUCAUCUGAGCAUCACAGCAAGCAGAACCUCUUCACUUCUGGAAAUCUCCAAAAGAAAACCAUCAAGCUCAGUCAGAACAUUUGAGUACAUGAUGUCCAAGGACGCUUCUCCAAGUGUCAGGAGAGAAUUCAUCAAUAUGGAAAGACAGAGAAAGGAAGGACUUGGGAAGCUGAAGACGCUGCCCCAAGGUGGCCGCUGCCCCUUCCACCGUGACAAAGAACCCAACCUCGGCUUUCUCACGUUCUCUGGAAGCCAUGGAGCAACCAGCCCCAGGUGCCUUGGUAAGUACCUGCAUGCUCAUGGGAAGGGUUGGAAGGAGCCACGUGAUCGCAACCCUCACUAUUUUCAGGGCACAAUCGCAUGAAUUAUGUCAGAGAAAUGCAGUAUUUUUUAGGAUCAGACAGCCUAAAAUGACAAGCAAUUUUUUGGAUCACGAAGGUUGUUCAUUUAACAACCAGCUCACCUCCUUAUUGACCCCCAGAUUAUUUGCUGUUGCAGACCCACUGAGUGGGUUCACACACCACAAUC